ACAACCUCAUCCUCAACCCUUUACGGCAAAGUUUAUAGCAGCUGGAAUUUUGCAGAAGUGGAGCUUUUCACUUCCUUUCACGCCUCAUUGGUGGCUUUCCAUAUUUCUGAAAAACUAACCCUAACCGCUCAUUCUUCUUUUCGAUCUGUGACUACGACUCUUUCUUCCUUGUUCUUGUCGAUCUUCCAUCUCUGCAACUGCGAUUGUUAAAACUCCCUGUUCUUCAUCCCUCUUCAAUUAGUUUCCAAUUCUGGCUCGAAUCCUUCAUUUGUUCACAGUGUUUUCCAUAUCAGAAGCAAGGCUAGAUUUAGAGAUUGAGUAGCGAGGUUGAAAUGGCGAAAGAGAGAAUCCAGAUCAGGAAGAUCGAUAACGCUACGGCGAGACAAGUCACCUUCUCCAAGCGCCGGAGGGGACUGUUUAAGAAAGCAAAAGAGCUAUCCGUUCUAUGCGAUGCCGAUGUCGCCCUCAUUGUCUUCUCCGCUACCGGAAAGCUGUUUGAAUUCUCCAGCUCAAGCAUGAAGGGAAUCAUAGAAAGACAUAAUUUGCACUCUAAGAACCUUCAGAAAUUGGAACAACCAUCCCUUGAACUACAGCUGGUUGAAAACAGCAAUUACACCCGACUAAACAAGGAAAUUGCUGAGAAAACUCAGCAGCUAAGGCAGAUGAGGGGAGAAGAGCUCCAAACAUUGAAUAUAGAGGAACUGCAGCAGCUAGAGAAGUCAUUGGAGUGUGGAUUGAGCCGUGUGAUGGAGAAAAAGGGCGAACGAAUCAUGACAGAAAUAUCUGAUCUUCAAAGAAAGUCGGCUGAGUUGAUGGAAGAGAAUAGGCGACUGAAACAAGCGCAAAAAAUGAAUUGCGUGAGGAACCUUGGCGUUGAGCCGGAGAAUUUGGUCGUGGAAGAUGGCCAGUCGUCGAACUCCGUCACUGAAGCUUGUGUCUCCAACUCCAAUGGCCCGCCUCAAGAUCUGGAUAGCUCAGACACAUCUCUGAAACUAGGGCUGCCGUAUUCCGGGUGACGGCGACGGUAAUGGCGAUGGAGCAGGAAGAUGAACAGGUACUGCAGCUAGCGAAAGGUUUGUUUUUUUAAGAAUUCAAUGCACCGUUUUAACGAAUCAAACUAGAAUUCGAGUGGGCUUGAUGAAACCUUGGCGUAUGCUAUCAGUCGUACUUUUCCUGCGUUUAGCUGGAGACAUAUUGCCCUUGUUUUGUAAAACAAGCGUUGAGUCAUAAUUUUGGUUUAAACAAA